GUGCCCACUGGAGUUCCCUCAGACACUUCAGUUGAUCUCUAUAGAGCUCAAAAACUCUUUGCGAUUUUCUGAAGUGUUUGGGGGAACUCUGGUUGCCAU
rnacentral:pre_miRNA from 1 species